UGGCUUGCCAGUCUUCCAUUUAUCCACAGAACAGGUAUGGCACAGGCAGUGCUUGUGCAACUUACCCCCCUGCUCCUCCACGAAUGUGCCUGAGCCCUCUGUAAAGGCUACAUGUGAACUACCAUAGCCAAUCGAUUCCCCA
rnacentral:sRNA from 1 species